rnacentral:rRNA from 1 species
UUCCAGACUCCUACGGGAGGCAGCAGUGGGGAAUAUUGCACAAUGGGGGGAACCCUGAUGCAGCGACGCCGCGUGGGUGAAGGAGUACUUCGGUACGUAAAGCCCUAUCAGCAGGAAAGAAAAUGACGGUACCUGACUAAGAAGCCCCGGCUAACUACGUGCCAGCAGCCGCGGUAAUACGUAGGGGGCAAGCGUUAUCCGGAUUUACUGGGUGUAAAGGGAGCGUAGACGGCCAGACAAGUCUGAAGUGAAAAUCCAGCGCUUAACGUUGGAAGUGCUUUGGAAACUGCCGGGCUGGAGUGCAGGAGGGGCAGGCGGAAUUCCUGGUGUAGCGGUGAAAUGCGUAGAUAUUAGGAGGAACACCAGUGGCGAAGGCGGCCUGCUGGACUGCAACUGACGUUGAGGCUCGAAGGCGUGGGGAGCAAACAGGAUUAGAUACCCGUGUAAC